UUCAACAAUUAAUGACACACCCUGACAAGGUUUUCUUCUUUGUCUUAAAAAGUAACUAUGGAACAAAUAUUCAAGAGUUUCCAGAAAGUCUGCUGUCGGCUUUAGGUGUACUCUGUGUCUUAAGUUUAUUUGUGAGCAGACAAAACAAGUCAAUGAUUACAGCCAAUAGCAUCCUAUUUUCGGGAUGAAUUAUGAGAAAAAUAUUGUGUUGAUUGUUGGGCCAAUUUAAACAGAAUGGGUUGGUAUAGGAAGAUUUAGCAAAAUCCUUUGAGGCCAGAAUAUAAUAUAUUCUUUAAUUUAAAAGGACUAUUGUGAUCUAUUUCCACAACUUCCAAGAUAUCUAACUCUCCUGAAUCAGCAUCUCGCCCUGUGUCACAAAGCUAUAAUAAAUCAUUCCAGAAUAAGGAUACCUAGAAAUGGAACUCUGGAUGACCUCACAAACACAACGCUAGCCAGUUCCUUUGCACUCUAAUGCAAUGAUAUCGUUUUCUGGAUUAAGAAACAGCGAAAGAAGCACUUAUUAAAGACUUGGUUUAAAAAAUCAGAAAAGAACCACAUGGGGAGACCAAAUUAAGAGUGAGCUGCUGUUCUUUGAGUACAAAAAAAGCUCAAAAACAGAAAAGCUGUGAAGAAAAUAUAAGCUUUUUGAAAAAUCAGAUGAUCUGGUACUGCUGAGCUAGCAGUUCCACCUGGCAACAUCAGCUGAGCUGAGCAGCAGCUGCCCCCGUAACCCAGCACCAGGCUCCAGUCUGCCACAGUCCCCAGCAUUUGCUACUGCUUCACAACUAGGCCUCUUCUGCCACCUCAUCCACCUGCCUGACCCCUGCAGACAUCUCAUUCCAGACCUCUGACUUCCUCCACCUCUGGCCACAAUGAAGUAACAGGACCUGGACUUACUCUUCUGCCAUCAUUACUAUAAAACCAAACAAAACAGAUAAGACACCACAGACAGUGCAGGCCUGUGAUCCCUGAUAAAAGGGAAAUAAGUAAAGUGAGCCCCACACCACCUCAGCCUUCUGCCUGGAGUCAGUAUCUGGAUCGUGGCACAGGAAGGGGAACCCAAACAGAGUCCUGCCGUCUUGCUGAGUUAAGAGACUGACCAGAGCUGGGGAAGACCAAGGGAACCAGAGUGUGCAGGACAGAGUGUGCAGUCUUCAGAAUGUGGUAAAGAUAAAAAGAACACAAAAGAUAAAAGACAACCAAACUUGACGGAAACUCACUGAGCCACACACCCAUUACGUAUGUAUUCUCUAUUUAUCCGUCAAGCCUUAACAAAAAAAGUUUACAAAAAAAAAA